CGUAAGCGGAUCCCCCAAACAGAAUGCCCCAGGAAUUCACUUUUGUGCUUAGAAGAAGGACAGGAAAAGUAACCAAAACCCCAGGACUGAGAACCAGUCAUUGCCCUUCAUUACAGAUCCAGGACCCACAAGAAAAGGAGAGCUUCACCAGGAAGUAACUAGCUACAGAACAAGACACACCAUUGCAUUGAAUCUGCCUGGAGAAAACUCUGAGGGCUAAGGGGUGGACAGAGCUACAAGACCGAGAAUCUUGAAUCCCUAAAGGAUGACAUCAAAGGCCACUUGUCAGCUAGACACACCCAACUGGACUCUAUUUAAAUGAGAAAUAAAAUUCAGCUAUUUUAAGCCACUGAGAUGGAGAGGAUAUUCUGAAGUUGUGACUAGUAUAAUUUACCCUAAAAAAUAUACCGCACUGAAAAA